ACUUUGGUUCAGACUGCUAG
rnacentral:misc_RNA from 1 species